rnacentral:sRNA from 1 species
GCUGGGCGUAGUGGUGCACACCUGUAAUCCCAGUGGCUCAGGAGGCUGAGGCAGGAGGAUCAAGGGUUCAAAGCCAGCCUCAGCAACUUAGCCAGGCACUAAGCAACUCAGUGAAACCCUGUCUCUA